rnacentral:rRNA from 1 species
AGGUUCCGUAGGUGACCUGCGGAGGAUCAUUA